AACGAACGCUGGCGGCAUGCCUAACACAUGCAAGUCGAACGAGACCUUCGGGCCUAGUGGCGCACGGGUGCGUAACGAGUGGGAACCUGCACUUAGGUUAGGAAUAACUCCCUGAAAGGGGUGCUAAUACCGGUUAAUGUAUUCGGACCAAAGAUGUAGCGCCUUUGGAUGGGCCUGCGAUGGAUUAGCUAGUUGGUAGGGUACAAGCCUACCAAGGCGACGAUCCAUAGCUGGUCUGUGAGGAGGAACAGCGACACUGGGACUGGGACACGGCCCAGACGCGUGCGAGAAGCAGCAGUGGGUAAAAUAGGACAGGGAGCGAAAGCCUGAACCAGCAAUGCCGCGUGAGUGAUGAAGGCCUUAUAGUUGUAAAGCGCUUUUACCCGAGAGUAUAAUGACAGUACCGGUAGAAUAGGCUCCGGCUAACUCCGU
rnacentral:rRNA from 1 species